AUGUAAAUCUCCUCAGAAAGCUCAUAAUGAUCAGAGAUUUAGAACAACCUUUGUUAAUUACAUGGCAGGUGGCUAAAUUGUCUGAAAAACAUCUCACCGCCUGACCUGACCAAGCUGUUCCCCAUGCUACUGCAGCAGCUACGAUAGGAUAGAGGUCAAACAGGGCAGAAGUGGUGGAAAAACCUGGUACAUUAUACACUUCUCUAGGCCAGACCCCCCAAAGCCAAUUAUCA